UUUCCGUAGGUGAACCUGCGGAAGGAUCAUUAUUGAAUGAAACACUGCUGGCCUUAUGCUUUUGUGCUGGCCCUUUGGGCAAUGUGCACACGGCUCUGGUAACUUGUUUCUUCUGUUCCACCUGUGCACGGCCUGUAGACACGCUGUGUCUAUGAUAUUUUUUAACGUACAACAAUGUUAGUUGGCAUGUUAUAUAUAAUAAUAAAAAUAUACAACUUUCAACAACGGAUCUCUUGGCUCUC
rnacentral:misc_RNA from 1 species